ACCUUCCAGUUUCCUCGUCCAUCAGAUCUAAACACUGGUCUGAAUGGUUACAAAAGGACCGAAGCUGACUUCAACGGGUGUCUAGUACCUGGGCUAGUUUCAAACUAAA
rnacentral:snoRNA from 1 species